UGGGGAAUUUUGGACAAUGGGCGCAAGCCUGAUCCAGCCAUGCCGCGUGCGGGAAGAAGGCCUUCGGGUUGUAAACCGCUUUUGUCAGGGAAGAAAUCUUCUGAGUUAAUACCUCGGGAGGAUGACGGCACCUGAAGAAUAAGCACCGGCUAACUACGUGCCAGCAGCCGCGGUAAUACGUAGGGUGCAAGCGUUAAUCGGAAUUACUGGGCGUAAAGCGUGCGCAGGCGGUUUUGUAAGACAGAGGUGAAAUCCCCGGGCUCAACCUGGGAACUGCCUUUGUGACUGCAAGGCUUGAGUGCGGCAGAGGGGGGAUGGAAUUCCGCGUGUAGCAGUGAAAUGCGUAGAUAUGCGGAGGAACACCGAUGGCGAAGGCAAUCCCCUGGGCCUGCACUGACGCUCAUGCACGAAAGCGUGGGGAGCAAACAGGAUUAGAUACCCUGGUAGUCCACGCCCUAAACGAUGUCAACUGGUUGUUGGGAAGGUUCCUUCUCAGUAACGUAGCUAACGCGUGAAGUUG
rnacentral:rRNA from 1 species